GAGUUUGAUUCUGGCUCAGAACGAACGCUGGCGACAGGCCUAACACAUGCAAGUCGAGCGCUCCGCAAGGAGAGCGGCGGACGGGUGAGUAACGCGUGGGAACGUGCCCUCUUGCCUGGGAUAACUGCGGGAAACUGCAGCUAAAACCGGAUGAGCCCUACGGGGGAAGGAGAGGAUCGGCCCGCGUUGGAUUAGGUAGUUGGUGGGGUAAUGGCCUACCAAGCCGACGAUCCAUACCUGGUUUGAGAGGAUGAUCAGGCACACUGGGACUGAGACACGGCCCAGACUCCUACGGGAGGCAGCAGUGGGGAAUCAUAGACAAUGGGGGAAACCCUGAUCUUGCCAUGCCGCGUGGACGAUAAAGGCCUUAGGGUUGUAAAGUCCUUUCACCGGUGAAGAUAAUGACGGUAGCCGGAGAAGAAGCCCCGGCUAACUCCGUGCC
rnacentral:rRNA from 1 species